rnacentral:rRNA from 1 species
AUUGAACGCUGGCGGCCGGCUUAACACAUGCAAGUCGAACGAGUGGCGGACGGGUGCGUAAUGCUUGCGAAACUAGCUGAUGGAGGGGAAUAACUACGGCAAACUGUAGCUAAUACCGCGUACCAUAGGAUGAGACCAAGUGGGAUUAGGUAGUUGGUGAGGUAAAGGCUAACCAAGUCGACGAUCUCUAGCUGGUCUGCGAGGAUGACCAGCCACUCGUGGAGUGAGACGAGGCCCAGACUCCUACGGGAGGCAGCAGUGAGAAAUAUUGCGCAAUUGGGACAACCUGACGCAGCCAUGCCGCGUGAAUUGAGAGGGCCUUCGGGUUGUAGAGUUCUUUCGGUAGCGAGGCGUUAACUACAGAAGAAGCACCGGCUAACUCCGUGCCAGCAGCCGCGGUAAUAC